UACGUAGGGUGCGAGCGUUGUCCGGAAUUAUUGGGCGUAAAGGGCUCGUAGGCGGUUUGUCGCGUCGGGGAGUGAAAACUCAGGGCUUAACCCUGAGCCUGCUUCCGAUACGGGCAGACUAGAGGUAUGCAGGGGAGAAUGGAAUUCCUGGUGUAGCGGUGAAAUGCGCAGAUAUCAGGAGGAACACCGGUGGCGAAGGCGGUUCUCUGGGCCGAUAUUGACGCUGAGGAGCGAAAGCGUGGGGAGCGAACAGG
rnacentral:rRNA from 1 species